rnacentral:rRNA from 1 species
GCAAGUCGUACGAUCUCUUCGGAGAGAGUGGCGGACGGGUGAGUAAUACUUGGGAAUCUACCCUGGAGUGGGGGACAACAUUUGGAAACAGAUGCUAAUACCGCAUAAUCCAUAUUGGGAAAGCUUCGGCGCUCUAGGAGGAGCCCAAGUCUGAUUAGCUAGUUGGUGAGGUAAAGGCUCACCAAGGCGACGAUCCCUAGCUGGUCUGAGAGGAUGAUC